AAAGUGACGUAGAUAGUCCGAUAAAUCGUAUAAAUAAGCGUCGCUCACUGAUGACGUCCUUCGUGGAGUUGAUUCGUAGCCGUUGCACCGUCUCUUCGACAUGAGGGCUAAGUGGAGGAAGAAGCGCAUGCGCAGGCUGAAGCGUAAAAGGAGAAAGAUGAGGCAGAGGUCCAAGUAAACUGCCCUCUCCGCCCUGGCCCUGUGACAGCACAUGUUGCCAUAAACCAGACCGGUGAGCCUAUCUGGAGACCCAGGACCCUCUCGACGAGUCAGAGGCCGGUGGCACCCACAUUAACCUGAGGCAAUUGAGCUGCAGCUGCUGCUGGAGAGCUUGUUCAAGACCUGCUGGAAAACAGGAUUUUCCCUGGGACUUUCUGGACUCUGUUCUUGAUUCCUCAACUUUUGUCAUUUGUUUGUGUUUAUACUUUGAUUAAAGGUUUUGGUUUAGAAAA